rnacentral:rRNA from 1 species
GACGAACUGUCCUAACGUUGUUCGGAAUCACUGGGCGUAAAGGGUGCGUAGGCGGGUCUUUAAGUCAGGGGUGAAAUCCUGGAGCUCAACUCCAGAACUGCCUUUGAUACUGAAGAUCUUGAGUUCGGGAGAGGUGAGUGGAACUGCGAGUGUAGAGGUGAAAUUCGUAGAUAUUCGCAAGAACACCAGUGGCGAAGGCGGCUCACUGGCCCGAUACUGACGCUGAGGCACGAAAGCGUGGGGAGCAAACAGG